CACGUAGGGCGCGAGCGUUGUCCGGAGUUACUGGGCGUAAAGCGCACGCAGGCGGUCUGCUAAGUUUGGAGUGACAGUUGGUGGCUUAACUGCCAAAGUGCUUCGAAAACUGACAGACUUGAGGGCUUCAGAGGGACACGGAAUUCCGGGUGGAGUGGUGAAAUGCGUAGAGAUCCGGAGGAACACCAAAGGCGAAGGCAGUGUCCUGGGGAGUACCUGACGCUCAGGUGCGAAAGCCAGGGGAGCGAACGGG
rnacentral:rRNA from 1 species